GGCCGGUGCUGUUCUCGGCUCUCUGAGUCGGCUCAGGACCUGGUCAUCCGUAUGGGAAGCCUGCUCGGCCUUCACUGGUCGGCUGGUGGAUCAUACACUUUACUUUGAAAAAAUUAGAGUGUUUCAAGCAGGCAAUUGCUUGGAUACUUCAGCAUGGAAUAAUGGAAUAGGACUUUGACCUAUUUGUUGGUUUCUCGAGGUCAAAGUA
rnacentral:rRNA from 1 species